rnacentral:rRNA from 1 species
GUACACGCUGUGACUAGCAUAUCAAUAAGCGGAGGAAAAGAAACUAACAAGGAUUCCCCUAGUAACGGCGAGUGAAGCGGGAAGAGCUCAAAUUUGAAAUCUUAAAGGGUUCCCCUUUACGAAUUGUAGUUUAAAGAAGUGUUUUCUGUUGAGGUUUUGGUAAAAGUUCUUUGGAAUAGGACAUCAUAGAGGGUGAGAAUCCCGUAUUUGACCUUUACUUUCAACUUUGUGAUACACUUUCAAAGAGUCGGAUUGUUUGGGAAUGCAGUCCAAAAUGGGUGGUAAAUUUCAUCUAAAGCUAAAUAUUGGCGAGAGACCGAUAGCGAACAAGUACCGUGAGGGAAAGAUGAAAAGAACCUUUGAAAAGAGAGUUAGACAGUACGUGAAAUUGUCAAAAGGGAAGCGUUUGACACCAGUGUUGUUUUUCUGAAAAUCAGUUAAAGAACUGUUUAUGCUAAGCUGUUUAGACUUUAUCAGCUAAUCUGUUUAGUUUUGAGCUUUUCUUUAAUGCACUUUUCAGUUAACAAGUCAACAUCAAUCUCUUUUGCUGUAAAAAAGCUUGAGGAAGGUGGCUUGAGAUUCGUCUUAAGUGUUUAUAGCCUCUUGCCUAUGCAGUCGGAGAGAUUGAGGUCUGCAGCGUAGAUCCUUCGGGGCUAAAUGCAUUUGUGCUAAGUUAUAGCAUUUUAUAGACAACUUGUUGACUAUGAUUUGUCUUGUAGCUUACUCGCUUAUGUUAUUUUACCUACGCUUAGGAUGUUGACGCGCGUGUGUGCGUG